AUUCACUUUGCAAAACAAUUUGCAUACUCUCAUAUCUCAUUUAGCCUCCUGAUAUGAAGAAGCUAAGGCUAAGAGAGGCUAAAUAACUUGCCUGAAACCUCCCAAUAAUUCAAUCAAAUGUGAGGUCUGGGACUCUGCAAACUGACUCAGUUUGCAUCUACUGUGAGCAUCUAAUGCACUUAGCGAGCAUCUAUUGUGUUCAGGAUUAGUUGUUGUAGGAUUUGCUGGGUUUUAGCACAAAAUAUUUUAAAGCAUCCUCUUUUAAACUAGCAGGUCUGGGAGAGGAAAGGUGACAUCGUUUAUUCAGAAAAGUCAGAAAUCUAAGCAAAGGCAGAAAAGAAGAAGAAGACAGAGGAGAGGCCAGACUGAUAAACACUCCUCAUGGGAAGGUUUCUUUGCAUUCAUUCCCAUAGGUAAGAAAGAAGCGGGCUUAACAGCCCCAGAAGAAGGGCCCUGAGUACUAAAUAAGGAAACUCUUUGACUUCAAGAUCUGGAAUCUGUCAAUGAGGGAGGUUGCAGUUCUGUAUCUGAUGUUGAUUGCUGGCUUUUCCAUGAUCCAGGGCUCAAAUGUUAUUUCAUGAGAGGCGUUCGGACUCGGACACCCACUGCUUCCUGUUUGAGUAUAUCUCUGUUUCACCACUUCUGUGUCCAAAGUGACAUUGUCUGAGGACCAGCUGAUAAAUGCCUAGCAUUACAUUCUUUCUUGUUUGCUACAAGGGUGAUCAGUUUGUAAAUCCAUGUGUAGCUACUGUUUUCCAUGGCACACCAGCUGGAAGUAUCAAAGGGCCCCAAAAGGUGAGCAACAGUUUCUGACUUGAUCCUAAACAACAAAAUCUAUGGGACCGUGCUCCAUCCUAACCCUCCCUUUCUGGUCUUAGGGUCUCUUGGAUGGUCUUUGGUAAAUUCACAGAGGGCACUGAUUCUCCUCCAGAAAUCGUAAGCAUUUCUGAUUUCUGUAAUUUUGCCUUAUGUCUCUCUAAUUUUUUGUGCCUAGGGAUAGCUGCAUCUUAAGACCAUAUCCUUAGUUGAGUCCACCUUCUAGCCCUUCCAGUAAUGUUAUCUGGUAUGGCCACUACCUUGAAUGAAGGAAAGACUCUUGUUAGUCAGUUUUGACUUAGAACAGAAUUGUCUUAGUCUCAGCAUUUGACAGCCUCUACUUUUAGAAAAUUUUUAUUUAAUGGGCACCUUCUACUGAAAGUAAUCCUCCUUCUGGAACUUUGUCCACACAUCCUUGCAGGGACUGAGCCAGAAGAUAAUCCUCUGUGAAAUUAGAAUAAUUUCAUGUGUUCAGAAUAAGACACUAAUGCUUAGAGAUGGUAAGGGUCCCACAACAAUUAAAUGGAAGGCCCA
rnacentral:lncRNA from 1 species